GUUUGCUUUUUCAAAUUGUAGAGUUAAGACCAACAUGCUUGUUUGUUUUGUUUUGUUUUUCCUCAGGCUUAUGACAUUUUUUCCCCUCUGGAAUGAAAUGCACAUAUUUAUUUUGGCUUGUGCUAACCCUUGAAAGAGAGAGAGAAAAAAAACAGCUAAUCCCAUAAUCAGCAGUGGGGACUUUCAGACCUUUAAAACAGUGAUGUAAGUAAACUUUCUUUUCCCAGAUGUUGAAGUAUUGUGGCAACACGGACAUUCUGAGUACAGGUUAAGCUUCCUCUUUUCCCAACCAUUGCCUACUCACUAAAGCAAAUACCUUAAUGCAGUAUCUAAAGUACCUGUCUUGUAUGACUUCCUGCAGGAAUGCAUCUGCAGUUGUGUUGUGAUGGGGCCAAAUGAUUUCAUUUGGUAGAAGCUUGUUGUCUUGAGCUCCAAGUUGCCCUACAAAGGAUGUCUAACCCACACUACUGCUUCAGAGUCCUGAACUUCUUCAGACAUAUUAUAAAGGCUAUGGAGAAGGAAAAGAGAAAGGAGAAAAGGUUAAAUUAAUGACUAGAAGGAGAUAAAUAAUUCAGAACCCUGGAAUGAAAGAUGAAAAUCAGGUGUUGACAUUUUGUAUUUGUGAAAGAGAAUAUGAUUAUGAUCAUGAGAAUGAGACGGCCCUGACGCAGAUAACUUUUUUCAAACAUUUUUCUUUCUAUUUUUACAUCUUUUUUCUUUCUAAAGAUAAAAAGGUAUGUACUUAUAAGAC
rnacentral:lncRNA from 1 species